AUUGAACGCUGGCGGCAUGCUUUACACAUGCAAGUCGAACGGUAACAGGCCGCAAGGUGCUGACGAGUGGCGAACGGGUGAGUAAUGCAUCGGAACGUGCCCAGUCGUGGGGAUAACGCAGCGAAAGCUGUGCUAAUACCGCAUACGAUCUAUGGAUGAAAGCGGGGGACCGUAAGGCCUCGCGCGAUUGGAGCGGCCGAUGUCAGAUUAGGUAGUUGGUGGGGUAAAGGCCUACCAAGCCGACGAUCUGUAGCUGGUCUGAGAGGACGACCAGCCACACUGGGACUGAGACACGGCCCAGACUCCUACGGGAGGCAGCAGUGGGGAAUUUUGGACAAUGGGCGCAAGCCUGAUCCAGCAAUGCCGCGUGCAGGAAGAAGGCCUUCGGGUUGUAAACUGCUUUUGUACGGAACGAAACGGUCUGGGUUAAUACCCUGGGCUAAUGACGGUACCGUAAGAAUAAGCACCGGCUAACUACGUGCCAGCCGCCGCAGUAA
rnacentral:rRNA from 1 species